GGGGGCGACAGGCUUCGACGGGGAUCGUGAUAUCGAAAGUUGCAUGCCGUGGAUGAUGGUUGGCCACGUAAAUACACCAUCAUGCUACAACUGCCAACAACGAACUGGCAUACGCUGCUUAAGAACUAAGUAGCGCGUCCCCUGGCUGGUGCCUGAACGGCUAACGGGACGUCACACUCAGGCUGGUCCUUCCGUGCAGCCCGGAGCGGAAGGGCGAGAAUCUCCGGGCUGGCCGACACCGUAGCUCUCCCCAAGGCGACGGAGAAGGCGAGAUCAAAGGCGGGGAUAAGCAUGUAUGAGCUUUCGGUUGAUGGUUUUCGGACGCGGGUUCGAUUCCCGCCGCCUCCACCA
rnacentral:tmRNA from 1 species